rnacentral:rRNA from 1 species
CCUACGGGAGGCAGCAGUGAGGAAUCUUGGUCAAUGGACGAGAGUCUGAACCAGCCAAGUAGCGUGAAGGAUGACUGCCCUAUGGGUUGUAAACUUCUUUUAUAUGGGAAUAAAAUGUUCCACGUGUGGGAUUUUGUAUGUACCAUAUGAAUAAGGAUCGGCUAACUCCGUGCCAGCCGCCGCGGUAAUACGGAGGAUCCGAGCGUUAUCCGGAUUUAUUGGGUUUAAAGGGUGCGUAGGUGGAUUGUUAAGUCAGUUGUGAAAGUUUGCGGCUCAACCGUAAAAUUGCAGUUGAAACUGGCAGUCUUGAGUACAGUAGAGGUGGGCGGAAUUCGUGGUGUAGCGGUGAAAUGCUUAGAUAUCACGAAGAACUCCGAUUGCGAAGGCAGCUCACUGGACUGCAACUGACACUGAGGCUCGAAAGUGUGGGUAUCAAACAGGAUUAGAUACCCCUGUAGUC